rfam:Gorilla gorilla gorilla genomic chromosome, chr3, whole genome shotgun sequence
GCCAGGUGUUAUGGUGCAUGCCUGUAGUCCCAGCUACUCGGGAGGCUGAAGAGGGAGGAUUUCUUGAGCCCAGGAGUUCUGAGCUGCAGUGUGCUAUGCUGAUCCUGUGCUAUGCACUAAGUUAGGCAUCAAUAUGGUGACCUACCGGGAGGCGGGACCAUCAGGUUGCCUCAGGAGGGGUGAAAUGGCUCAGGUCAGAAGGAGAGUGGGUCAAAACUUUCAUACUGAUCAGUAGUGGGAUUGCACCUGUGAAUAGCCACUGUACUUUAGUCUGGGAAAUGUAGCAAGACCCCAUCCCUA